AUGAAGCCUUUGCCCCUUCUGGUGCUCCUUGUGCUGGUGCCCUUGGCAUGGGGACCAGCACCCAGGGGGCUGCUGAGCCCCCCCUGUGGGGCUGCUGGUGCUGCCCCGGGGGGUUGUGGAUCCUGCCCAGAGCAUCGGGAUGUGAAACCAGGGGCAGAGUUUCCAUGGGUAAUGGCAUACGCAUCUAUGAGAAGCUGCCACAGAGUCCUGAGGGAUGCCUAUGGGGAGUUUUCUCCUCCUGCAUAUUGUAGUGAUUCUCCAAUGAACUUCUGGUGCAACUGGACAAUCUGGGCAGGCCCUAGAAAGCAUAUAAUAAUUUACAUCCAGGGCUUUACCACUAAGGAAGGUUGUAACAAAAAUGAGGACAAAAUCCUCUUCGAAGGAGUUUCUUCACUGGUGGAAAACAGCGUGGUUUAUGCUUGCUGGAAGAAGGAGACGCAUGUUUUUGCCACCUUUGCUCGGGCUGUCCAUGUCGUGCUGCUGAAGAGAAGGGCAAGCCAAGACAGUGUUGAUACCACCACAUACCAGGGGCUUGGAACAGCUGGUUUGGAGGAGAACAAGAGCCAGGAGGAGGACAAAAGCCAUGGAGCAGCAAGAGGUGAUGCUGAUGGCCUUGCGAAGGGCCUGACGCCUAGCCUGAGUACCCCGUACCAAGUGGUGAGAAAGGACAGCUCGCAGAUGCCACCUGAGAGAAGCCAAAGCAGUUUUGAGGGUUUGUCCACAACUCAACCCGACCUGGGAACGACCAGCCUCCAGCAUACGAAGCUGAUGGGUAUUUCCCCCCCUGAAAUAAAAAAAAUCCCCACACCAGCCCUCUCUCACCCUGACCACGUCCCUGCAGGCUUUGGAUCUGGCAAUUUCGCCCCCAAGGAUCCUCUUUCUUCACAAGUGGAGGCUGUCUCCAGGGCAGUCUCACCUCCAGCAGUAGCUCUGGGUUCGGAUCCUGUCAGGAGAAGGGCAGGCACCCCACCACCUGUCCAUGGAGGACAGGAGGUGUUCUCCCCAUCACCACCUCGCCAUCUGUCAGCAGCCCCUGCGCUGGGUGCAGAUGUGUCCCCUGGCCCCCUUGGCCUUGAGAUGAGCAAACGGGUGCUGGAGGAGGGUGGCCAGCGAGAAGAAACCCCAGCUCCUGCAGGCUUGCCAGCCAGGGGUCCCUCUGUGGCCUCCAUCCCCAGCCCGAGGCCCGUCACAGGCCUUCCUUGUCCCCAGCACCAGAAAAACACAGAAGGCCUCCGAGCAGGUGCAGGUGAGCAGAGAAAUGCCUCGAGCCAUCGUCACUCCAGUCCUCCUGUGACCCCGCAGGGACAAACAGUGCUGCAAGGCCAGGAGCUGCAGCAGCCCUCCAGCGACCCCUUGUCCAGAAAGACAUGGAUGCUAGGAGGACAGCAACAACAACACGCUGAGCUGGGACUGCCCUGGGCAACAGAGUACUUCCCCGCCAGGAGAUGCCACGUCGUCUUUCAGGGUGGGUUUGGGAUGUUCUACCUCCCCCCACAUGGCGACAUUAAAGCCAACAUCUGGUGCAACUGGACCAUCUGGGCAGGCCCCCAGAAGCACGUUGUCAUCUAUGUCCAGGGGUUUCAGGGGAGCGAAGGCUGCGGUAAGAAUCAGGACAAGAUGAUUUUCCAGGGUGUCCUCUCAAGUGUGGAAACCAAAGUCGUGUACGCCUGUCACAACCGAGGUACUCUGAUCUUUGCUACGCGAGCCACUGUGGUCCAUGUGUUAUUUCUGUCCGGGGGUGGCUCCCUAAGCAGUGAAUACAAACAUUUUAAGGGACAGUAUUAUGUAUUUGGAGACUAUGAAGCUGCGGGUUCUUCAAAUGAAACUAUAGUUCCUGGAGAGCCUGUUCAGGAGAGCUGGAGGACAGCAGUAACAAAAGGCUUCCUGCCCACGCUGAGAGCUUCUCUGAGCCCAUCAGCUCUGCCUCCUGCAGACAGGUUCAAGCCUGAGUUCAUAAGCUCAGAUGAAAAAGACCAACACCUUCCUGAUCUUGCAGAAGAUGCCCAGCCCGGCGCUAGCCUGGGCCUGCAUGGUGAGCUGCAGGAUGGAACCAAGAUGGAAAGGAGCCUUCAGGAUGGUGGCACCAAGGGGGAAGAAUCUGACAACAUGGUGGCUCCAGCCAGAGGCGAUGCUGGGCGUGAAGCUGAGCAACCCCCCUUGGAGGCUGCGAAGGGGGAUGUACGGCUGGUAUCUGCUCUGGUCACUGUAGCCCCACGUAGCUCACCUGGUGUCCCAUCUUCAGAGACGCCCAGCAGUACUGCAGGCCUCUCUGACUCCUCUAGCCUGGGACAGGCCAGUGGCACCCUGGCAGCAGAGGUGGUCACCACACAUCGCCUGCCAAUGCUGGAAAAGCCACCGCUAAACACAAGUACAGGACCUUCUCCUCUCUAUCCCUCUCCUGGUGUGACUGCUGGAGGCAUGGUGUCACCACAGGAAAGACACGAAGACCUCUUUGAUCUGGAUUCUGUUCUGGCAUCCCUGGGGAACGGUACAGCACUGCAAUCCCCGCACCACCCAGGCGAUGUGCUGUUUGAAGUAACUACUGAAAUCAAGCACAAGGAGUGGAUCUCUCUUCGUGGAAGUGAGCUCAGAAAAGAUCUUAUCGAAUCCCUUAAGAACCGCAUUCAGCAGAACCUGAAACUCUCUGCCAACAGAGUCAAUGAGAUAAAGUUAAAGCAAGUCAGAAGGACGACCAAUGCCAGCCUGCUGCUCACCUUCUGGCUGCACCUGAAGCCCCAGGAGAGAAAUGUGUCCUUGCUCCUGCACUCCCAGCUGGAAGAGCUGCUGGGCGCCUCAGUGGGAGUGGAGAAGCUGCAGCUGGUCUCGCUGCUAGUGGAAGAUGUGAAUGAGUGCAGCUUGGGAGUCACUCUGUGUGGGGAGGAGGCAGAGUGCUUCAACGGUGUGGGCACCUACUUGUGCCGCUGCAAGAAGGGCUAUGAGGACCGUUCUCCCAUGAAGUCUGGCACGCUGUGCGUUCGUGCUCCCACAUCAGGGAUGGGCUUCCUGCUCCGACACGGUGACAUCCUGGUGGGGGCGGCCAUCAUGGCCUGCCUGGCAAUGCUGGUGGCCGCUGCAGCCAUGUGUGGGGCAAAAUGCUGGGGACAGCGCCCCAGGAGGGACCUGGGGCCUGAGGAGCCACCGGAGAGGCCUGCGGAGGAGCCGGUGAUGGAGCUGCGGGACCUGGAGGACUGCCUGCGCCUCGACCCCUUCCAGCUGAAGCUGCGAGCCAGGCCCCCGGAGUGGCUGUGGGGGGCCCGGGCCCACCCUGGGCAAGCUUACCGUGUCUUCCUGGAGCAGUCCCCCCCACUCUAGGAGAGCCCCGAAAUGCUGCUAGCCACCAUCACCUCUGCUGUUGGUCCUGUCUUCCUCGGCUGCGUGGCCCCUCCUUGUGUCUCUUAUGGACAAACACCUCUCUCACAGUUGUCUUCGUCUUGUCGUUUAUGGCUUUUAAAUGCUUGCUCUGCUUUGGAAGUGAAGAGCUUGCUCACAGCACUCUGUCCUCUCCCACAUUCCCUCCUUGAGAUUUGUGCAGACGCGCCAGUACAUGAAAAAAUAAAUGCUUAUUUUUUUAAGAAAAAAAUAAGAAA
rnacentral:lncRNA from 1 species